rnacentral:rRNA from 1 species
AUGGCGCAGGCCAAGCGGUACGUGCUGCGCCUCUUCAUCUCGCUCAAGUACGUGACGGCCAACGUGGUGGACCGGCAGAGCGGCCGCGUCGUGGUCACCGCCUCCACCGUCGAGAAGCCCCUCCGGGACGGGCUGGAGUGCGGCCGCGCCUGCAACGCCAAGGCGGCCGCGGCCGUCGGCGAGGUGCUCGCCAUGCGCCUCCGGGUCGACGGCCUGGCGCGCGAGCCCAUCCACGCCGACGCCGCCAAGGAGGUCGAGAAGAAGGGCUUCAAGAACCGCACCAAGGUCUGGGCCAUCCUCAACGCGCUCCGCAGCCACGGCGUCAACCUCCACGUCGACGACGACGGCGACCAUAGGCGGCAUGUCUGA